UACGUAGGGGGCAAGCGUUGUCCGGAUUUAUUGGGCGUAAAGAGCGUGUAGGCGGCCAGACAGGUCAGCUGUGAAAACUCGAGGCUCAACCUCGAGACGUCGGUUGAAACCGUCUGGCUAGAGUCCGGAAGAGGAGAGUGGAAUUCCCGGUGUAGCGGUGAAAUGCGCAGAUAUCGGGAAGAACACCCGUGGCGAAGGCGGUUCUCUGGGCCUGACCUGACGCUGAGGAGCGAAAGCGUGGGGAGCGAACAGG
rnacentral:rRNA from 1 species